rnacentral:sRNA from 1 species
UUUUUUUGUCGGCUAAGUAUUGUAUUCAUAAGUCCAGAGGGCAAUUUACAGAAGGGAUAAAGCCCAAUAAAGAUACAAGCGAAUAUAACGGCCCAAAGUAAAACCUAAUUUAGCAGCCAACACGUGUAGAGACGUGUACUCCUCCAAUCCACGCGUCGGAUGUCAAAACGCACCGUCAUCAACUCGCCGGACAUCGCCGAACUCCGGUCAGCCACCACCAGCUACCUGUAAGGCGAUGGAUAAACUCUCCUCCCUUCCGCCGAUCUCCUGUCCAAACGAAAAGCAUCGAAAUCUAUCAGAUUGAAUUGUUGAAACUGCUUCAAAAAUCUCUUGAUAUCACCGAUUUCGGGGAAGCUUCAUCACCGAUUACACCCAAAUUGAUGUAAUCUGAGUCCAACUUUGCUCGUGCAUCUUGAGCAAACGGAAGUGAUAAAGAUUUUACUCCUCGAGUAAAGGGAGAAAACAGAGAUCUUGGAAGAAAAACCGCGAAAUCAAUGGAUGAGCAAAGAUGACAUGGAGAUCGAUCCCGCUAGAUGCGAAAGAAAAGACCGGUGAUAACCGGUAGACAAAAUAUCCGAUUAGAAAUCGGAAUUUCUUUGUCUCGUACAAAGACGAGAAAAUAUACAAGAUCCGGACUACAUCGGAACCGGAAAUACAAAAAAACGAUUACCAGAAGCCUUCCUCUCGAAAGAUUGUAGAAAGAGAAGAGAGCCAAUAUGAGUUUAAAUAUGGUUAUAGUUUAAUUUUUGUUUU